GGGGGUGAUGAAGAUUGGUAAAACAUAAGAGCAUCUAACUCGUAACGCGAAGGUCGCAGGUUCGAUUCCUGUCUCCGGCACCA
rnacentral:tRNA from 18 species